GCUCGUUAUAUUUUUGGCGGCCGAGCUACGCCUCGUGCUGUCUUAUCCUGGUGUUUAGGGAGAGGGAAGGGGAACCUGGUCAGAAGCUGAGACCUCCCCACUAAGGAGAAGUGGGGACAGGGUGAAAGCUGAGGCCUUAGCAGGACAGUGUCAGGGCACAGGGCCUCUGUGUGUCCUUGGUUUACAUCGACCUGGUUCUGGUGUCCCCACAGCCUCUGGCAGCCGCCUGGCAGUGCCUCCUCUGACUAUUCCCUGAGAGGCUGGGGGACGAUCCAAGCAGCUCUGUAGCAGCCCUGGGACCCCUCCUCCCUGGGUUCAGCGAGCUCCCUGUGCCCUGGGGGCUGAGGUGGCACGGGUGCCACGGCGCAGCCCAGAGGUUGCAAGUUCGAGGCCAUAGCAGAAGUGCUCACGGCGUGACCGGUCACAUUCUGUGAAUGAAGCUGUGAAUUCUGCUAAAUACCUUGUCACAAGGACACGAAAAGGAAAGGAGGUGGGCCCUGGGUGUGGCACAGACACAUGGGAGGCUUGGUCAUGGAAGAGCCUGGCAGGUGGUUUUGAUUUGAAGUGCACCAGCCCUGGCCUGAAGGACAGGGGAAUGGAAGCAGACAGGCGGCGUGAUCUGGGGGCUUGGCGAAGGUCUCGUGUGAGCGGGGCCCCGGCAGGCAGGAUGCAGCGUUGCAGAGGGACGCACAGGACACAUCUGCAGCCAAGCAGAUAAGGCUGAGUUCAGAGACGCACCAUGCAAGGAUCUCUCUGGCCCCACGGCUUCCGGAGCCGCAGAGAGGCUCCUUCCUGCUGACAAGGGGCCCUUGGCUGUGGUGUGUGGGGGCUCCUUGAUCAUGUCACCCCACAUACAAUGGUAUGAGGCCCCCCGGGUCAUGAGACUGUGUCACCAUCCUUCAGGAAUUCCCCGAGCCUUUGUCUCCUCUCCUGUUGGGAUCUUGGGCUCUUUAACGCCCCAGCAGCCUCUGCCAAGUCCCAGGGGUCUCCCCAGCACCAUCCUGCACUCCUUGGAUAUGUGCAGAAUGGGUGCAGCAUGCUGCAGAGCAACAGAAAAGGCUCUGAAUUGCUUUUCCCCUAGCAGGAGACAGGCAAGCCAGUGAGAUGAGGGGCUGCGGGGACAGCCUGGGGAAAGGGGAUGCUGCCUUAGAGGCAGUGAGGGAGGGUGCUAGGUGUUUGCACACCUGGGCCUGCCUUCCAUGGAGGGAGUAAGCACAGGAGCUGCCAUGUGGCCAGCAGGAACUGUGAAUUUGGUUUGGCAACUGGUUGGGAACUCAUUUCUUUCUGCUUUGCUUAUGAAUGGCCUCUUCUGUGAAGGCUGCAAGUCUGAGCCUGGCAGCUGUUUGAUGAGAUUCCUUUAUUCCAAGGAGAAAAUGAUCCUAUUUCCUUUGCUGUUGCCAUAUUCCCACAUCCUUGUGCCGAGCGCGUCCAGAGGUGGAGCUCCAGUGGGCAGGGACGAUGCCGUAUUAGAUGUUUUGCUUUUGCGAUUCUCUCGGGGUUUAUGAACCAUUACAGAAUGACUCAUGUGGCCGCAUAUUUUCCAUGCCUCAACCAGGAUCCUUUCUGUGCUCUGCAUGCAAAGCAUUAGACAUAAUCAGGUUCAGAUAGUGUGCAAAUCACAACCCGGGUGCCUAUGGCCAGGUCUCUGGGGUGGAGUAGGGAGAGGUCAGUCAUUGCUGCAUCCUUUCUUUUUCAGAUGCUGUGUGAUCUUUACUGACUGCUUUAGAUGCAGAACAGCUUGUCUGAAAAGCCUGGUGCCAGAGGUUUCCAGAGAUGCUAAUGAGCAGUGACAAUCCUGUGAUCCCUGCCUGUGGGAUGACAGGAAUGAUUUGAAAGCUGUUCCUUGCUCAGCUGAUCUUCUCCAGCUUGUGGAUACUACACAAUCCAGCUUCUAGCAGCGCAGCAGCCAAGUAACUUCUGGUUACCGCUUUCCAGACUACUAGGAGAAGGCCCAGAGGGUAAAACAGUAGAAGUGCCCAGACCAAGGCAGUUUCCAACAGGUUCUCUUGCCCCAACGGCAGGUGUUCAAUAGGAGGUGCGGCCAGCCAGGGAAAGAACCGUCCCAUCAUCAGGGUGGCUGCCAGCAGACCCGAGUUCAGUUCUGCUUUACAAGAGGUGCCUUGUGCGGCCAGCCUAAGGAUGCUCCCUGGCUGUUGGGCAGUUGUGAGGAGUAAUGUUCUGCAGCUGUGCAAGCUCAUGUACUGAGAUAGGUAUCCCUAUAAAGUGCGCUGGCUAAGAAA